GACGAACGCUGGCGGCGUGCCUAAUACAUGCAAGUCGAACGCAGUGGGGACGGGUGAGUAACACGUGGGUAACCUCCCAUCAGAGGGGAUAACACUUGGAAACAGGUGCUAAACCGAUACUGAUGGAUGAACCCGCGGUUCAUUAGCUAGUUGGUGAGGUAACGGCCUACCAAGUCCACGAUGCAUAGCCGACCAGAGAGGGGUACCGGCAACAAUGGGGCGGAGACACGGCCCAGACUCCUACGUGAGGCAGAAUAAGGGAAUCUGCGGAAAUGGACGAAAGUCUGACCGAGCAACGCCGCGUGAGUGAAGAAGGUGUGCGGAUCGUAAACCUCUGUUGUUAGAGAAGCGGGAUCUAACCAGAAAGCAACGGCUAACUACGUGCCAGCAGCCGCGGUAAUUC
rnacentral:rRNA from 1 species